rnacentral:rRNA from 1 species
GUGCCAGCAGCCGCGGUAAUACGUACCGUCCAAACGUUAUUCGGAAUUACUGGGCUUAAAGGGUUUGUAGGCGGCGCUGUUAGUCGGGUGUGAAAUCCCAGGGCUCAACCCUGGAACUGCGCCCGAUACUGCAGUGCUUGAGGGAGACAGAGGUAAGCGGAACUGAUGGUGGAGCGGUGAAAUGCGUUGAUAUCAUCAGGAACACCGGUGGCGAAAGCGGCUUACUGGGUCUCUUCUGACGCUGAGAAACGAAAGCUAGGGGAGCGAAGGGGAUUAGAUACCCCCGUAGUCC